CCUACGGGUGGCAGCAGUGAGGAAUAUUGGUCAAUGGGCGCUAGCCUGAACCAGCCAAGUAGCGUGAAGGAUGAAUGCCCUCUGGGUUGUAAACUUCUUUUAUAUGGGAAUAAAGUGCAGUAUGUAUACUGCUUUCAAUGUACCUUAUGAAUAAGGAUAGGCUAACUCCGUGCCAGCAGCCGCGGUAAUACGGAGGAUCCGAGCGUUAUUCGGAUUUAUUGGGUUUAAAGGGAGCGUAGGCGGGUUGUUAAGUCAGUUGUGAAAGUUUGCGGCUCAACCGGAAAAUUGCAGUUUAUACUGGCAUCCUUGAGUACAGUAGAGGUAGGCAGAAUUCGAGGUGUAGCGGUGAAAUGCGUAGAGAU
rnacentral:rRNA from 1 species